AUAAGUAGAUAAUUUAUUAUGUAUUAAGAAUAUACAUAAAAACUAUUUUAAUUCCCAUAGGAUCCACUUGAGAACGUCAUACAAGGGAGGUGGAGUCAUUACUCCGUAACCAGGCUGCCAUUUGGAAGAUUUUUAACCACUUUUCUUCUCAUGAUGGACUGACAAGUAAAUUAGUUGAUAUAAGUCUGAGACUCCUGGACAGUAAGCGUCAAUCUUAAAAGAAUUUGAAAUAGAGAAGAUGAAGGCAAUGUAACUCAAUGGUGAAGAUAAAACAGGAUAGUUGGAAGCACAAGAAGGUACUGGUAGAGGCCAAGGACAUGCGAUGUUCUGA
rnacentral:lncRNA from 1 species